rnacentral:lncRNA from 1 species
UUUUUAGUAGGGAUUUUCUAGUGUCAGAAUGUUUUCCAUACAUAUCAUUAAAGCACCAUUCUACAUAUCUUAACUUAUAUCGAGGAUCAAAGAUAACACCAAAAUAAAGUAGUUGGUUCAUCUUAGUGAUAUCAACCCAAUAUUUACUAUACUUUUCCAAGAUGUCCCUAGUCACCUCAGCAAACAAUCCAUUCAGGUCCAUGUUUAAUUUCUUAAGCUCAAUGUAGAUGCCACCCAAGUACGGAAAAGCAGUAUGCAAGCUUGCUUUUGUUGAAACAGAAAAAACGUUUGUCGACUCAUAAUAAUUCUUUAAAAACUUAAUAAAAACCCUAAUAUUAUCCGAAUCUUGACUACUAAGGGCAAUCAACCUCAAAUAAAUCCCUAUAGGCUUCAUCCUUACCUUCUAGCUUAUCAAAAGCAGUUUGAAACUUUUCAGCCGCAUCUAACAUCAGAUAUAUCGAGUUCCAUCUGGUUGAAACAUCAAGACAUACUGACGUCUUGCAUGAAAUCCCAACAUAUUCCACACAUUCCUUGAACUUUAAAUCCCUAUGGGGUGAAGAUCUAACAAACCUAAUUGCAUUUCUAACACUUGAAAUUGAGGUGUGGGCUAAUUUUAAUCCAUCUUUCACAACCAGAUUCAGUGGAUGAGCAUAAUACCUCAUGUGAAACCCAAACCCAUCCAUUAAAAGUCUAUUCAUGUUUCUUAUUUUGUGUUCUAAUUAUUUAACAACAACAUCAUUUUAUGAGGCAUUAUCUAUUGCGAUGGUAGAAAUAUUUCUCAGCCCCCACUUCUUCAAAACCUCCUCAAACUUCUUACCAAUAGUUUUACCCCGGUGAUUUAGGAUAAUUGUAAAGUUAAUUAUCCUUUUUGGCAAUGCUAAUCCUUAUCAAUAAAACAGGCAGUGAGGGUCAAGUAAUUUAGAUUUUGGACAGACGUCCAGCAAUUUGUUGUAAUUGCCACCCUACAACAAUGAGACUUAAAGAACGCUUUCAACCUCACUUCCUCAUCAAGAUAUAAUUGGGGGGAAAAACCUAGUUAUGGUUCUCCUUGGCAGUAUAGAAAAUUGGGGUUGCACUUUCCUACAGUACUUGAACCCCUCCCCUUCAACUGUUUUGAAAUGUUUCUCAUCUACAAUGAUCAAAUAAGCCAAUCCAUUUAUGCAAACUACAUGGUUAAACCUAGAACUUAAUGGAACCAACAUAUUUCCCUUAGUUGUUGAAUAUAACAAGAUUGUUUGGAUAGGGUCGAUAGACACGUUCAAUGCAUACUUGAGGCAUGUUUUCAUGUGACUCUUUAAGUUUGAUCUUCCAUGUUUCUUAGAGUCAUGCAUAUACAUUUUGUGGCAGUACUUACAUUCAGCAGUUGGGGGGUCACUAUCAGGAAUAAGGUUAAAGUGAUCCCAUACCUCAGAUCUCUUUAUGUUACCAUUUUCAUCAAGUCUUCUUUUCUUUAGGCCAGUUGGUGGAAGAUUGUGUGUUGUUGUAGUUUGUUGAUUUGGUUGAGAAGGAUCAUUGGCAAUUGGUGUGUGUUGCCCACUUGCUGAAACAAUGAGUAUUAUUAGUUAUAGUUUAUAAUAAAUUAUAAACUUACAGGUAUUUUGUUGAAACAAUGAACAUAAACUAGACUAAAAAAAGCUCCCUCGUUGUGGUUAAGCGUUGAGGAUGGAGGCUUACCGUCAGUGUUCAGUGAAGGAAAGGGUUUGUCAUUCAGUGAGGGAGGAAAGUGAAUGGUGAUGAUGACAGUGGUGUUGGAUUUUUUAGGGUUUGAUUUCAAUUUGGGGGUGACGGUGGCGGUGGAAGCAUUGUUACAUUUUUUAGGGUUAGGUUAGGUUGGAAGAAGAAACGAUUUUUCUAAGAUGGGAAGAAAUGAGACAUGAUAGCGGAAACUGACAUUUAAAACAUGAAAGGAAACAAAUAUUUAUAUAACAAUUAACAGACGAAAAGAUAACAUGAAUGGAUCCUUGGCGCAAUGGUAGCGCGUCUGACUCCAGAUCAGAAGGUUGCGUGUUCGAUUCACGUAGGGUUCAAUUUUCUUUUAUUUUUGGACCUGCUUUUCCUGGCCAGUAAAUUGGCUAAAAAAAACACUACAUAUUCUUCUAUACUAUUUCUCAUAUAUCUUCACUUUUUCUCUCUUACCAUUUAUAUUGUUAUAUAUAAUGUAUUUACACUAUAUGCGAAGAUAAUUUUUUAAAAUAUUUAUUUACAUUGCUUGAUUACAUUUUAUAUUGUCUUGUUUUUAUGUUACAUAAUACUUCUUAUAUUUUUGGUGUGUGGUUGUGAAUUUUUUUCUCCCUCUUUCAUUUAGAUUUAUAGAAUGAUGGGGUAUUUCCCUCAUAGAGAUGUAGGUAUAAAUAAAAUUAUUACAAUUAUUUUGCAUUUUAUUAUAUCUUUAUUGAAAUAGAAUUAGAUUAGGUUAAAAAAUAGAAGAAGUCGGAAAAAAAAUUGGGCUUGAUUAAAAAUUGGGAAGAAGAUGAAGAUGCAUGAGAGCAACAAAAGUUUCUAACAAAUUCUAAUAGAAAGAUGAAAAUCUAUUAUGAUCAAGAUUACACUUUUCAAGCUAAAACUAUACUUGGUUUAUAUACUACUUAAAGCAAAAUGCAAAUCCAAAUAUAAGUUAAAUUAAACUUAAAUGCAAUUGAAAAUGAAUUACAAUCUAACAUUAUCCUUUAAUUCAUAUUCAGCUAAUCAAAAUCAACAGCAUCAAUUCCAUCCUCCAAAUGGAUAAAGUGUUCAGUCUUGAUUGUGUUGGUUAGAAUAUCUUCCAGUUGCUUCUGAGUACUAUAAUGCACAACUUCAAGCACACAAUUCUGAACAUGGUUCCUCAGAAAAUGAAACUUUGUGUCAAUGUGCUUGCUUCUUCCAUGCAUCACUGGAUUCUUGGCAAGGCUUAUAGUUAAUUUGUCGUCAAUCAUUAACUUCACAGACUUGCUCACCUCGAUCUUUAGAUCCUGCAGCAAGUUUAGAAUCCACAUAACUUGACAGGCAAACAAUGCACCUGCAAUGUACUCAGUUUCACAUGUUGACAAUGCAACCACUGGUUGCUUCUUGGAGCACCAAGAAAUAGGACCUCCUAAAUACUUGAAAAGAUAUUCAUAAUUAAUUCUUUUAUCAACUAUGUCUCUACACCAAUCAGAGUCUGAGUAACACAUCAUCUCUGAAUUAGAUUCAACACCAGAAGGGAACAAAACUUCAUACUUCAGAUUACCCUUAACAUACCUCAAUAUCCUAACAACAGAUUGGUAAUGUGACCAUUUUGGCUUGUUCAUAAACCUACUCGUCAUUCCAACUGCAUAGCAAAUAUCAGGUCUGGUAUUACAGAGAUAUCUCAAUGAGCCUACCAACUGUUUAAAAGUUGUAGCAUCUACAUCAUCACCCUCAAUAUCAGAAUCAAUCUUGUGAUUUGUUUCAACAUGUGUGAUUGCAAACUUGCAAUUGAUGAACUCAAAUCUUUUCGAGACCUCAACUCCAUACUUCACUUUAUUCAAUAUUAUACCCUUACCAUAGUACAUAAUCUUCAUCCCUAUAAAAUAUGUCAUAUUUUCUAGAUCAGUCAUCUCAAACUCAUUCAUGAGCACCUUCUUGAACUUAGCUAUCUUAGUCGAACAACUUCCUAUUAGAAAUAUGUCAUCAACAUAGAGACACACCAUAAUCAUAUUUCUAUCAAAUGUAUGUUAAACAUAAACAUCAUACUUUAUCUCACAUUUUAUGAAUCCUUGAAGCUUGAAAAAUGAAUCAAUUUUCAGAUUCCAGGCUCUAAGAGUUUGUUUCAGUCCAUAAAAGGAUUUAUGUAACAUGUACACCAUCCCUUCCUGAUUCUUUUUCAUAAAUCCAGGAGGUUGUGAUACAUAAACUUCCUCUUAUAAAGGACCAUUCAGAAAUGAAGAUUUCAAAUCUAAAUGCAUUAGAGGUCAAUUCAUAUUAGCAACUAUAACAAUAACUGGUCUGAUUGUUUCAUGUCUAGCUAUAGGAGCAAAUACCUCAAAAUAAUUUAGUCCAGAUUUCUAUAGAAAUCCUCUAGCUACUAACCUUACUUUAUGUUUGCCAAUUGAUCCAUCUGGCUUUAGUUUCACCUUCUAAACCCAUCUGACAAAAAUGGAUUUCUUGUUCUUUAGAAGCUCAGUCAACUCCCAAGUCUUAUUUCUUUCUAUAACCUCAAGUACUCCUUUCAUGGACUUCAGCCAUACUUUCUUAUUAAGAGCUUCUUAUAUACUUACUAGUUCAUAUUCCACCAUCAUGGAACACUUAAUGACUUCCUCUUCAGAGUCUAUUUCAGUAUCUUGCAUCAAUUCAAAAUAUGCAAGCCUUCGUGGAAUCUGUCGAAUUCUCUAUGGUCGAGUUUCAGAAGCAGGACCACCUUCAGAAUCUACAACUUCAAAAGCUCCACCUUUAGAAACUAUAACUUCAUAAUCUCCACCUUCAGAAGGUCUAUCUUCAGAGGAUAGAUUAUCACAAAAGUAUGGAUCAUCAUCAGAAUCUUGGUCACCAUCAAAAUCUGAAUCAUUGUUAGAAUCUGAAUCAUCAGAUUCUCCUUUAGAGUCAGACUCAACUUCAGCAUCAGAGUCACCUUCAGACUAUGACUCAUCUUUAGACUCAGAAUCUCCUUCAGCGGCAUAUUCUCCUCUAGAGUUUGAAAUGUCUUUAGAAGUUAACUCAGGUGUUAACACUGAACUAGAGUUGGAUUGAAACUUGUUCCAAUCCCAUGCUUUUGAUUCUUUAACACUAACAUCUUUAUUGAACUCAACUUUGUUAGUGACAUGACAGUGGAUCUUAUAAGCACAUGUAUUAUGGUACCCUACAAGCAACAUGACUCUACUUCUGUCAUCUAACUUCAUUCUCUUAACAUCUGGAACAUGUUUAUAACAAAUAGAGCCAACCAAAUUCAGAUGGCUCACACUUUGCUUGUCUCCAGUCCAAUUCUGAAUAGGAACUAUUUCCUUCAUCUUCUUAGCUGGACACUUAUUGAGCACAUAUGAUGCAGUGGCAACAAUUUCUCCCUACAAGGUGUGAGAAAACUUCUUCUCCUUCAGCAUGCUCAUUGCCAUAUCAAGCAAAGUUAUGUUUCUUCUUUCAACAAGACCAUUGUGUCGAGGAGUGUAUGGAGCAGUAACCUCGUCUUCAAUUCCAUUCUCCUUACAAAACUUCUUUAAAUCUAUAGUGUCGCACCUCGAAAAAUGGGGAUAUGACUUCAAAGCGAAACGCGGUCGUACGCUCGCAAUGAUGGACUGAACAGAGUCGCCACCAAACUUUAUUUAUUCCCAAAAAUGGGAAAAGGAAAAUAUCGAUAAAACCCCUAAAAGAAAGGAUAAGAUAUGGUCAUCGCAACCAAUAUCAGGGUUCGGGAGUAGAUUACGCAAGAGGAAGGUAUUAGCACCCCUCACGUCCGUUGUACUCAACGGGAACCAUUAGGUUAGUUGUGUGCGUUAGUGUCAGUUGAAAUAUUAGGCUUUUCGAAUUAUUAGGUGGGAAAGAAAGAAAGGAUGAGAUGAGAGGAGAAUGUUUUUGGAUUUUUGACGAAGGGCUAAACUUAAGUUUUUAUUAAUGGGCCUGAACAGAUUUACGAAUCCUGCUCCUACGUCUCAAAAGAGAAAUCAAGGCUUACGUAGUUCUGGGUAGAAAAAUGUUUGUUUUGUGUCGAUUUAGCNNNNNNNNNNNNNNNNNNNNNNNNNCCUGUGCACUGUUUCCAUUGGCUGAGAGCAAUAGGAACAUUUCCUUGCCUCUGCCCAAAACCACCGUUUUGAUUAAUGAGGGGUUUAAUUACAAAUAUGCCACGGUUGACCCAUCGCUUUGACCCUCUGCUCCUUGCUAUGUGCUUCUUGUUUCAUCAAUUUUGGUGCAUCAACCUUCAACAAUUAAUUUCUCAUCCAUUUCAACUCCAAAAAUUCUGAUUUUUUUUGCAUCCUGUUCACAAGAAAGUCUAGUAUUUGAUUGUGAUUUUUAAUUAAUUUCCAUUGGCUGGAUUUUAAUGAUAAUUAUUUUCUUGACAUGUAUGCAUAAUUGAUCAUUGUGCCAUUCCUUUUGUGAGAUUGUCAUGACAUAUCCAAUGAGCUUGAAAUUUUUUGUGGUAAACUAGACUCAUUCAUCUUCAUUUUGGUAUAAAGAUUGUGCUUUAUCAUUUGUGGUUUGCUAGAUAUGAUUUUUUGAACUAGGGUGUGACAAUUUGUGUCACACCAAUGAUGUGCAUCUUCUUGAUUUUGUUCACAUGUCUCCUGGCCUCCAAAUUGAUCUCAAAUUUUGCAUGAAUGAUCUAUCAAUGUCUAGUUUGUGUAUGAAUUUUCUUGGAAUUAAUCAUGCUGUUUUCCAUUUGAUUGUGAAUUUUUCCAUGCUUAGUCAUUUGUGGACUUUAUGUGAUACACAUUGCCAAAUCUUUUGUGAAAUUCUCAAAUCUUAUUGUAUGACCAUGAAAUCAUAUGUGAUAACUAGACAUCUUGACCUUUGCAUUGGUGUUAACCUCAUUCAUUUCUCUUCUGUUUUCAAUUGAUAUGAUUUUUUGAAGUUGACCCAUGCUUGUUGACUUUCAUUAUGCUUAUUUGAAUUUGGUUUGACUUCAUGAUUUUAAUUGACUGCCUUCCUCUAAUCCAAAUGCAAUGAAAUUUGACAUGCUUGCCAUGCUAGGUGUUAGGAUUGAAUGUGAUUUAUUUGAUAAUUUUUGAGAUUGUUUGGGUUGACUUUUGAAUGAAGUCUUGCUGUUGACCUUUUUGUAUGCUUCUCUUGCCAUGCUUUGCAUUCCUUGGUGUAUGAAAUGACAAUGGUGCAUGAUUUGAUUAUGAAUCAAUUGAGAUUGCUUCUUAAUGUUUGAACAUGAAUGGGUUGACUUUCCUUUGGCUGUUGACUUUUUUUUUCAUCUUUGACCUAGGCUAGCCCUAGUGGCUUUUGAGCUUACAAUUGAGCUAUUGUUUCAGGUUAGCACCAUGCUCAAAGAUCACAUUUAAAUUUGAUGAGUUGAUUAUAUAUCAUGUGCUAACCCUUGUUUUGUAGGUGGACUCAUAUACUUGAAGUCUGUGCUAUGCACAUUGGUCCCUCUGUGGUUGACUGUUGUUUCAUUUUCCUUUGAUUUGAACUGUUAACUUGUCUACUAAUAAAUUUGACUUUUAGGUACUUAGUUGCUUAAGUUCUUUGAACUUGUUGCUUUGCUAUUGCAUUUGCUUUGAGGUAUAAUUACUUCUUCUUCAUGUAGUCUGGAGACCGGUCUGUUAUUUGACCGGGCAAACUGUCUGAAGUCCUCCUUAAGAGGCAAUGCCUGUGUGUGUUUAAAAUUGUCCCAAGCAGGAAAAGUCCUUCAGUAGGCAAUUGGUGAAGGUAGGGAUAAGCAAUCUAUCCCCCACUAUUCAGUGUGUCCUCUCUUUGCUCCCAUUACAUGGUUGAAGCAUUGAGAUAAAACCCAAGAUCUAAUCGAGUCAAUAAAGGGG